rnacentral:rRNA from 1 species
GACGAACCGAGCGAACGUUGUUCGGAAUCACUGGGCUUAAAAGGGCGCGUAGGCGGGUGCUCAAGUCCGUGGUGAAAUCCUCCGGCUCAACCGGAGAACUGCCUCGGAUACUGGGCGUCUCGAGUGUGGUAGGGGUAUGCGGAACUAUCGGUGGAGCGGUGAAAUGCGUUGAUAUCGAUAGGAACUCCGGUGGCGAAGGCGCUCGCCGGAUCUUUCUGACGCUGAGGCGCGAAAGCUAGGGGAGCAAACGGG